rnacentral:rRNA from 1 species
UGGGGAAUAUUGCACAAUGGGGGAAACCCUGAUGCAGCGACGCCGCGUGAACGAAGAAGGUAUUCGUAUCGUAAAGUUCUGUCCUAUGGGAAGAUAAUGACAGUACCAUAGAAGAAAGCUCCGGCUAAAUACGUGCCAGCAGCCGCGGUAAUACGUAUGGAGCGAGCGUUGUCCGGAAUUAUUGGGCGUAAAGGGUACGCAGGCGGUUUAAUAAGUCGAAUGUUAAGAUCGGGGCUCAACCCCGCAAAGCAUUGGAAACUGAUAAACUUGAGUAGUGGAGAGGAAAGUGGAAUUCCUAGUGUAGUGGUGAAAUACGUAGAUAUUAGGAGGAAUACCAGUAGCGAAGGCGACUUUCUGGACACAAACUGACGCUGAGGUACGAAAGCGUGGGGAGCAAACAGG